rnacentral:lncRNA from 1 species
CGGAAGGGAAGGAUGGGGGACAGACGAACGAGGAAGAGAGAGAUGAGAAGGAAAAGGAGGGUUGAAGAAGGGAUUCGGAUUCAGGAUUGAGCUGGUGACAGUCAGAAGAAUCUCUCUCUGGAGAAGGAUGGCUGGCUGAACUGGUGUCUAUAUUCUUGUUUGGACAAAUCUUGUGGUGAG